rnacentral:rRNA from 1 species
UACGUAGGGUCCGAGCGUUGUCCGGAAUUACUGGGCGUAAAGAGCUCGUAGGUGGUUUGUCGCGUUGUUCGUGAAAACUCACAGCUCAACUGUGGGCGUGCGGGCGAUACGGGGCAGACUUGAGUACUGCAGGGGAGACUGGAAUUCCUGGGUGUAGCGGUGGAAUGCGCAGAUAUCAGGAGGAACACCGGUGGCGAAGGCGGGUCUCUGGGCAGUAACUGACGCUGGAGGAGCG